rnacentral:lncRNA from 1 species
UAUAUAUAUACACAAUACACAUAUAUAUACAUUUUAUCUAUACACACACACACAUACGUAUUUCUUGUCUCUGCAGUGACACCCCAGUAGCAUGAGUAUACCUAGUUCCAUAUGUUGGUUUCUGACUACCGUUUUCCAGUAAAAGAAGUGAGGGCUUAUUGAAGAAAUCUUGGAGAGUCUUAUUGGGCCAGAAAGCAAGGUUAAUGUAGAGAUACUAAAAUAAUACAAGAGCCUUGAACAGCUCCCACUGUUCAAGUUUGGGGACUAUUUGAACAUCAAAAGAUUGGUAGUAAAGGGUAUAUUCCACAGUUUAUAAGACAAAAAAAUUCAUGAGUCUACAGUGAUUUUCAAAAAGGGAGAGGGUCAGUGAAAUGCUUCUUUACAGGAGAAUGCCAACUAAUAAAUGUGAAAACAAUGGCAGAAGUCACUAUUACAACCACGGUGAAUAACUGGUCACCAGAGGAUGCUGAGACCAUUGAGUUUAGGGGCUAGGGGAACAGGAUAUUCCCGUGGUUUUGGAGUAUCAGUAGACAAAUCUAAUAGACCCUGUCAUCAACCACAAAACAAACCACAUUGUGUACCACUCCUGAAGCAAUGUACUACCAUCACGUGUGUCCUGUUCUUGCCAAAAUGUUCACCCUUAUUCUAAUUACAAGAGAACAAUCAGACAUAACCUGCUGGUGGGACAUUGUAUAAUACAGUUGCCCUAGACUCUUCAAAAACUUUACCAACAUGAAAGACAAAAGACAGGCUGUUUUAGAUGAAAGGAACCUAAGAGCCAUGACACAGAAGCAAAUGCAGAGCGAGAUUCUUGAUCCUGAAUCACCCUCAAAAUAACCGUAACAGUUAUGGUGAAUGUUUUGGAAACAAGUGGGAGAAAGUUUGAACAUACUUAGUAUUAGAUGAUAUAACUGUAUUGAUGUUAAAUUAUAUAAGCCUGAUAAUCGUAUUGUGGUUGAAUGUCCUUGUUUUUAGGAGAUACAUGCUGAGUAUUUAGAAAUGAAAUGUCAUGAUGUCUGCAACCUUCAUAUGCUGAAAAAAAAUUACCUAUAUACAUAGAGAAAGCAAAAGGGACAGAGUGUUAGCAACAGAUGACUCUAGCUGGAGGAUAUAACGUGCACAUUGGCAUUUUAAAAUUUUUUCUGUAGAUUUGGACUUUUUCUGUUUUUUAUUUUUAUUUAUUUAUUUUCUCUGAGACAGGGUCUCACUCUGUUGCCCAGGCUGGAGCACAGUGGCACAAUCAUGGCUCACUGCAGCCUCGGACUCCUAGACUCAGGACUUUGAUCAAACCAUGGAUAUGUUGUAAACAUAACCGGCAAUCAAGAAUAAGAAUUAAAAGCAUUCUGAGAUCAUUGAAUAAAGAUAGGUUUACCUCUGGA